rnacentral:rRNA from 1 species
GACGAACGCUGGCGGCGCGCUUAACACAUGCAAGUCGAGCGAGAACCGGGACUUCGGUCCCGGGGACAGCGGCGAACGGGUGAGUAACACGUGGGUAAUCAACCCUCGGCACCGGGAUAGCCCGAGGAAACUCGGAUUAAUACCGGAUGGCCCCCUCCGACUUUCGGGUCGGUCGGGAAAGGUAGCUUAGGCCUCUGGCCGGGGACGGAGCCCGCGGCGGAUUAGCUUGUUGGUGGGGUAAUGGCCUACCAAGGCGACGAUCCGAGCUGGUCUGAGAGGACGAUCAGCCACACUGGGACUGAGACACGGCCCAGACUCCUACGGGAGGCAGCAGUGGGGAAUAUUGGACAAUGGGGGAAACCCUGAUCCAGCCAUGCCGCGUGAGUGAUGAAGGCCCUAGGGUUGUAAAGCUCUUUCGGC